rnacentral:sRNA from 1 species
GCAUUUCUCUUUCAACAUUUUGCAGGGAAUGAUUCAAUGAGUGGGAGGGAGAGUGCAAGCUGGUGCCUGAAGUUGCAUGGGAUAGAGAGUAUGAAAGGAGUUUCUGGACCUUUUAGGUUAACAAAAAGGAAAACAAUCUCAUAAAUUAUGUACCUCAUCUACUAUCAGGUGAUCUUGUUCUGUACUCUAGGUUAUUGCUGACAUGGAGGCCCAGGUUCAUAAGUUGAGAGAAGAACUGAUCAAUGUGAACUCACAGCGGAAACAGCAGCUGGUAGAGCUUGGUCUUCUUCGUGAAGAGGAAAAGCAAAGGGCUACAAGGGAACAUGAGAUUGUCGUCAAUAAACUGAAGGCUGAAUCAGAAAAGAUGAAAAUAGAGCUGAAAAAGACUCAUGCUGCUGAGACAGAGAUGACACUGGAAAAGGCCAACAGCAGGCUGAAGCAGAUUGAGAAGGAAUACACUCAGAAGCUUGCCAAAUCUUCACAGAUCAUAGCAGAACUUCAGACAACCAUUUCCUCUCUGAAAGAAGAGAACAGCCAGCAGCAGCUUGCUGCAGAAAGGCGGCUCCAGGAUGUUAGACAAAAGUUUGAAGAUGAGAAGAAGCAGCUGAUUAGAGAUAAUGACCAAGCAAUCAAGGUUUUGCAGGAUGAAUUAGAAAACCGUUCUAAUCAGGUGCGAUGUGCAGAGAAAAAAUUACAACACAAAGAAUUGGAGUCACAGGAACAGAUAACUUACAUACGACAAGAAUAUGAAACAAAAUUGAAAGGAUUGAUGCCAGCAUCCCUAAGACAAGAACUUGAAGACACCAUUUCCUCCCUAAAAUCACAGGUUAAUUUUCUGCAAAAGAGAGCUUCCAUCCUUCAAGAAGAACUGACUACAUAUCAAGGCAGAAGGUAACUGCACGAGAGAAUGCAAUGGAUGCAGUUUCCAGGCUGCGCUGUGGACUUCUUCCAGCAGGUUUGAAGAUUUGGAUAUUGUAAACUGUGAGAUCAGUGGCAUUUUUUAAGUCCUUAAAUGUAAUUAAGAUCAUAAAAACAUGCAUCAUUCAUACA